ACUCACUUCAGUAGUACAUGCUGCAGUUGGAACCAUAUAGAGAAGAUUUGCAUGGCACUUGGGCAAAAUGACAUGCAAAUUUGUGAAGUGUUACAUAUUUUU
ensembl:snRNA U6 U6 spliceosomal RNA